CACAGUGCUUUCCAUAGACAGAGGUCAAUGACAUGAACUCUUGCAGAGGCAAGAGUAGGAUCAUGUUGUUCCAUGGGUCCUUCAUUCUAACGGAGCGGACUCAUCUUGCAUGGUGCCAAAGACGAAGGGAGCUUCUAGGCACAUGCACCUUAUCUCGGAGGAGCAUUUGAUGGAGGAACUAAGGCGACUCAAUUUGCGGAGGCGAAGUUGGGUUCAGGAGGCCUUAGAACAGGGCAAGAGGACUCAG
rnacentral:lncRNA from 1 species